UACGAAGGGGGCUAGCGUUGUUCGGAAUUACUGGGCGUAAAGGCUCGUAGGCGGCCAACUAAGUCGGACGUGAAAUCCCCAGGCUCAACCUGGGAACUGCGUCCGAUACUGGAUGGCUUGAAUUCGGGAGAGGGAUGCAGAAUUCCAGGUGUAGCGGUGAAAUGACGUAGAUAUCUGGAGGAAUACCGGUGGCGAAGGCGGCAUCCGUGGACCGACAUUGACGCUGAUGAGCGAAAGCUAGGGGAGCA
rnacentral:rRNA from 1 species